UUCGCAAUGCCCGAAAGGGUGACGAAGCGACGCCGCGUGUGGGAAGAAGGCCUUCGGGUUGCAAACCACUGUCGGGAGUUAAGAAAUGCAAGGAUAUGAAUAGUGUCUUUGCUUGACUAAGGCUCCGGAGGAAGCCACGGCUAACUCUGUGCCAGCAGCCGCGGUAAUACAGAGGCGGCAAGCGUUGUUCGGAAUUAUUGGGCGUAAAGAGCACGUAGGCGGCUAUGUAAGUCGGUUGUGAAAGCCUUCCGCUCAACGGGAGAACAGCAUCCGAUACUACAUGGCUUGAGUGCGGGAGGGGAGAGUGGAACUUCUGGUGGAGCGGUGAAAUGCGUAGAUAUCAGAAGGAACGCCGGCGGCGAAAGCGGCUCUCUGGCCCAUAACUGACGCUGAGUGUGCGAAAGCUAGGGGAGCAAACGGGAUUAGAUACCCCGGUAGUCCUAGCCGUAAACGAUGGGCACUAAGUAGAGGGGUUUU
rnacentral:rRNA from 1 species